ACGUAGGGGGCAAGCGUUAUCCGGAUUUACUGGGUGUAAAGGGAGCGUAGACGGCUGUGCAAGUCUGAAGUGAAAGGCAUGGGCUCAACCUGUGGACUGCUUUGGAAACUGUGCAACUAGAGUGUCGGAGAGGUAAGUGGAAUUCCUAGUGUAGCGGUGAAAUGCGUAGAUAUUAGGAGGAACACCAGUGGCGAAGGCGGCUUACUGGACGAUGACUGACGUUGAGGCUCGAAAGCGUGGGGAGCAAACAG
rnacentral:rRNA from 1 species